rnacentral:rRNA from 1 species
GGAGCGAAAGCAUGGGGAGCGAACAGGAUUAGAUACCCUGGUAGUCCAUGCCGUAAACGUUGGGCACUAGGUGUGGGGACCAUUCCACGGUUUCCGCGCCGCAGCUAACGCAUUAAGUGCCCCGCCUGGGGAGUACGGCCGCAAGGCUAAAACUCAAAGGAAUUGACGGGGGCCCGCACAAGCGGCGGAGCAUGCGGAUUAAUUCGAUGCAACGCGAAGAACCUUACCAAGGCUUGACAUGUUCUCGAUCGCCGUAGAGAUACGGUUUCCCCUUUGGGGCGGGUUCACAGGUGGUGCAUGGUUGUCGUCAGCUCGUGUCGUGAGAUGUUGGGUUAAGUCCCGCAACGAGCGCAACCCUCGUUCCAUGUUGCCAGCACGUAAUGGUGGGGACUCAUGGGAGACUGCCGGGGUCAACUCGGAGGAAGGUGAGGACGACGUCAAAUCAUCAUGCCCCUUAUGUCUUGGGCUUCACGCAUGCUACAAUGGCCGGUACAAUGGGUUGCGAUACUGUGAGGUGGAGCUAAUCCCAAAAAGCCGGUCUCAGUUCGGAUUGGGGUCUGCAACUCGACCCCAUGAAGUCGGAGUCGCUAGUAAUCGCAGAUCAGCAACGCUGCGGUGAAUACGUUCCCGGGCCUUGUACACUCCGCCC